rnacentral:rRNA from 1 species
UACCUUGUUACGACUUCACCCCAAUCACCGACCAUACCAUGGGCAGCUGCCCCCUUACGGUUAGCGCACCGACUUCCGGUACAGCCGGCUUUCGUGAUGUGACGGGCGGUGUGUACAAGGCCCGGGAACGUAUUCACCCCGGCAUUCUGAUCCGGGAUUACUAGCGAUUCCAGCUUCAUGCAGUCGAGUUGCAGACUGCAAUCCGUACUGGGGACGGUUUUUUGGGAUUAGCUCCAGCUCGCGCUCUUGCAACCCUUUGUACCGCCCAUUGUAGCACGUGUGUAGCCCUGGACAUAAAGGCCAUGAGGACUUGACGUCAUCCCCACCUUCCUCCCCGAUUUCCGGGGCAGUCUCCCUAGAGUGCCCGACUUGACUCGCUGGCAACUAAGGAUAGGGGUUGCGCUCGUUGCGGGACUUAACCCAACAUCUCACG